CCUUCGGGUUGUAAACCUCUUUCAGCAGGGAAGAAGCGCAAGUGACGGUACCUGCAGAAGAAGCGCCGGCUAACUACGUGCCAGCAGCCGCGGUAAUACGUAGGGCGCAAGCGUUGUCCGGAAUUAUUGGGCGUAAAGAGCUCGUAGGCGGUUUGUCGCGUCUGCUGUGAAAUCCUCAGGCUCAACCUGGGGCUUGCAGUGGGUACGGGCAGACUAGAGUGCGGUAGGGGUGACUGGAAUUCCUGGUGUAGCGGUGGAAUGCGCAGAUAUCAGGAGGAACACCGAUGGCGAAGGCAGGUCACUGGGCCGCAACUGACGCUGAGGAGCGAAAGCAUGGGGAGCGAACAGGAUUAGAUACCCUGGUAGUCCAUGCCGUAAACGUUGGGCACUAGGUGUGGGGCUCAUUCCACGAGUUCCGUGCCGCAGCAAACGCAUUAAGUGCCCCGCCUGGGGAGUACGGCCGCAAGGCUAAAACUCAAAGAAAUUGACGGGGGCCCGCACAAGCGGCGGAGCAUGCGGAUUAAUUCGAUGCAACGCGAAGAACCUUACCAAGGCUUGACAUGCACCGGUAACACUCAGAGAUGGGUGCCCCGCAAGGUCGGUGUACAGGUGGUGCAUGGUUGUCGUCAGCUCGUGUCGUGAGAUGUUGGGUUAAGUCCCGCAACGAGCGCAACCCUCGUCCCAUGUUGCCAGCGGGUUA
rnacentral:rRNA from 1 species